rnacentral:rRNA from 1 species
UACGGGGGGGCAAGGCGUUGUUCGGAAUUACUGGGCGUAAAGGGCGCGUAGGCGGCCCGCUAAGUCGAACGUGAAAUCCCCGAGCUACAACUCGGGACUGCGUCCGAUACUGGCGGGCUUGAAUCCGGGAGAGGGAUGCGGAAGUUCCAGGUGUAGCGGUGGAAUGCGUAGAGAUCCGGAAGAACACCGGUGGCGAAGGCGGCCUGCUGGGCAGUAGCUGACACUGAGGCGCGACAGCGUGGGGAGCAACAGG